CUAGCCUGCGGAGACAGAGAACAUGUGGAGAGAAAGAUCAUAGUGAAUGAACUACCAUAUGGAGAGUGAAGCCACAUGGAAGAGAACCACAUUGCCCCAGUUUGACAGUAACAGCAAAGCUCCAUUUAUUGAGAAUGAAGCAAUCUUUGAUCUCUUAGCCCUAAUCAAGUCACCCCAGCUGACAUCACAUGGAGUAGAGACAAGCCAUCCCCACUGAGCCCCAAAUAUCCAACCAACAAAACUCACUGAAUGGAUCCCCAGUGUCUAACUGUGUAAAACAGCUGAGACGUCACUGCUUUCCAAUCUCUUGAAGGACAAGUGCUCAUCUUGGCUCACCUUGGAACCCACUUCAGAACCCAGGGGAAGUGUUAUGCAGGAAUUAUAAUAUGGGUCUUCUGUCAGAGCUCUACAGCUCCUAAACCAAGGUAUCACAUAUCUUCAAGACUGCUGAAUACUGGAAGCAAAAAAAAACCCCACGAAUUUUGCAGGCUACCUGCAAGAUGAGGAGACAGGAGAAGCAGCAGAAGAAAGGAACCAGAUUUCCUGCUUUCUUCUAUAGUGAAGAGAAUUGAACCCAGAGUAUCACUUGCAUAAGGAAACAAGACUGUUGGCUGCUCAUGCUUUCAUUGCAUUGAUUAGCUACUUCCUCAAUAUGGAGCCACCCUUGACAAAUGCAGCCAGAAUGUAAGUUUUCCUUCACCGACGGAAGUAGCUGUGGUAGAAGAAAGAUAAUUCUAGACUCUGAGGGUUUUUGGGGGGGUUUUGUUUCGUUUUUACAUUUCAUCACUUACAUUUCCUCAUUGUCUUACAAGAAUAACUCACUUCUCCCAGUUUCCAAGGUCAA